AUGAAAUUUGCUGACAAAGAUAAAUUUUCAUCGUAUCUCAAGAAAUGGCAAACGCUGCUGUGCAUCAUCAAUGCUUCCCUUGAAAAUGUUGAAGAAAAGCAAACCUCGAGCCGCUCACUGGAGCUGUGGCUUAGUGAUUUAAGAGACGUUGCUUACGACGCUGAGGAUAUCAUCGACGAGCUCACCACAGAGGCUAGGCGUCGCCAAAUAACGGAAGAUCCGGACGCCGCUUCGCCCUCCUGCAAGGUAGGGAGAUAUUUUUCAGCUUGCUUUCUUCGUUUGAAUCCUUCCACUGCUAAGUUUAGCACAAAAAUGGAGUUCAGAUUAAAGAGUCUUACUGCUAGAUUGGAAGAGGCUGUUGCAAUGAAGGAUGCUUUGAGUCUAGUCGAGAAUGAUAGAGGGAUAAGAGAGAGACCAAGAACCAAUUCUCUUGUUGAUGAGUCUUGCGUCUACGGUAGGGAAUGUGAUAAAGAGAUUGUUCUUCAUUUGCUGAUGAACGAUAGUGAUGAUAGUGUUGGUGAUAGUAGUGUGGUUUCCAUUGUGGGUAUGGCAGGCGUGGGUAAAACAACUCUUGCUCAAUUAGUGUACACUGUAUAGUUGAUUCUUAGGAGAUUAGUUAUCUAAAAUACUGAUAUUCUAUAUGUAGAGGAUAUUAUGUGUAUAUAUAGGGAUUCAGCUUCGCAAAAAUAAAUAUGAAGCAUUUUUCACAAUUCUCAAAAAACUUCACCAUGGAUUUUCUAAAACCAUCUCUUGGGAUCGAGGUAUUCUCUAUGAACUCAUUAUGCUUAUUAGUGUGUUAACAUUUAUCUUUCUACUAAGAGAUUACUUGCAACGCAUUUAAUUUCUCUAUAUUGUGGAGCUUUACGGAUAACAUUCUUAAGACUAAAAUAGAUUCCUAUCUGCCAAUAACAACAGGUUGGGAUCAUUCUCAUUAUUCAAGCCAUUGAUAGUGACUCGGGAGAAAGUUAUGCUGCUAAUGCAUUUGCAAUUUGGAUCUGGCGCAGAGAAAAAUCAAUUUGACAGAAGCUAGAUCUGAUCAUGUAUGGCAAACACAAGUUCGAAAAAUUCAAAGAUGGAGAUAUUAGAGAGAAAGAAAAUUUACCUCCCCAUCAAGGUACCAUGGAUGCCACUUGGUUUUAACUGCAAGCUUCAUCUUCUUAAUGGAGUACUUUGUUGAAGUAACUGGUAUUCUUCCAUCUGCAUCCCCACUGCAUUACAUCCAAUAAAAGACAUAACAUAUGUAAACAACACAACGAUGAUACCUAUGAAAAAUGAUACGGCAAUGCUUUUACUACCUGAAAAUCCACACUCUUAGUCCGUUAGCCAUUAACUCUUGUAAAAGGGGAAUGAUUGUUGAAGGGCUAUCUCCCCAUCUUCUGAUGAUGUCGCUGCAGGGUUCCCAAUCAUGGUCAAGUUUUGUUACAUUGGCAUGCAUGGCCUCUUGAACAUCAACCCUGUUUAGAUAAGCAUAUACAUAGUAGUCACUGCAUGGAUCGAAAUUUGCCACCUGCAUCAUAUUAAUGGAAUAUCAUUACUAGACUUAUGGUAUAAAAUUGUUCAAUAAUGUUCAAUGGUAA